GAUCGUUACCCGUUGCAACAUUUGACAUUUAUGGUGUGAAAUUUCUGGUUGUUGUUAUAUAAAUGUUGGUGUUGAUCUGAGAGUGUUUGUGUACUACUCGGGCCCAAGGCCCAAGCUCACAAAAGAAUUUCAGUUUAUGAAGACCC